GACGAACGCUGGCGGCGUGCUUAACACAUGCAAGUCGAACGGAAAGGCCCUGCUUUUGUGGGGUGCUCGAGUGGCGAACGGGUGAGUAACACGUGAGUAACCUGCCCUUGACUUUGGGAUAACUUCAGGAAACUGGGGCUAAUACCGGAUAGGAGCUCCUGCUGCAUGGUGGGGGUUGGAAAGUUUCGGCGGUUGGGGAUGGACUCGCGGCUUAUCAGCUUGUUGGUGGGGUAGUGGCUUACCAAGGCUUUGACGGGUAGCCGGCCUGAGAGGGUGACCGGCCACAUUGGGACUGAGAUACGGACCAGACUGCUACGGGAGGCAGCAGUGGGGAAUAUUGCACAAUGGGCGGAAGCCUGAUGCAGCAACGCCGCGUGCGGGAUGACGGCCUUCGGGUUGUAAACCGCUUUCGCCUGUGACGAAGCGUGAGUGACGGUAAUGGGUAAAGAGGCACCGGCUAACUACGUG
rnacentral:rRNA from 1 species